AUUCACGCUGGCGGCAUGCUUUACACAUGCAAGUCGAACGGCAGCGCGGGCUUCGGCCUGGCGGCGAGUGGCGAACGGGUGAGUAAUGCAUCGGAACGUGCCCAGUAGUGGGGGAUAGCCCGGCGAAAGCCGGAUUAAUACCGCAUACGACCUGAGGGUGAAAGCGGGGGACCGAAAGGCCUCGCGCUAUUGGAGCGGCCGAUGUCGGAUUAGCUAGUUGGUGGGGUAAAGGCUUACCAAGGCGACGAUCCGUAGCUGGUCUGAGAGGACGACCAGCCACACUGGGACUGAGACACGGCCCAGACUCCUACGGGAGGCAGCAGUGGGGAAUUUUGGACAAUGGGGGCAACCCUGAUCCAGCCAUGCCGCGUGCGGGAAGAAGGCCUUCGGGUUGUAAACCGCUUUUGUUCGGGAAGAAAUCCUCUGGGCUAAUACCCCGGGGGGAUGACGGUACCGGAAGAAUAAGCACCGGCUAACUACGUG
rnacentral:rRNA from 1 species